UCCCUGGCAGUUCAGUAGUGAAAAGACUGUGCUUCCAAUGCAGGGGGCCUGGGUUCAAUCCCCGGUCAGGGAA
rnacentral:tRNA from 1 species